rnacentral:tRNA from 1 species
GCCUGGGUGGCUCAGUCGGUGAAGCAUCUGACUUUGGCUCAGGUCAUGAUCUCACAGUUCGUGAGUUCAAGCCCCACAUCUGGCU